GGUUCGAUGGCGUAGUUGGUUAUCGCAUCUGUCUAACAUGCCCGCGGCGUGGAAGAUUUACACAGAAGGUCCUCAGUUCGAACCUGGGUCGAAUCA